rnacentral:lncRNA from 1 species
UAGGCCUGUGCAGAUUUCGGUUUAAACCGAAAAACCGAACCGAACCGAAUAAUUUCGGUUUUUCGGUUCGGUUAAUCGGAAUGAUCGGUUUGGUUCGGUUAGUAUAUUUAAAAUUAUUCGGUUUUCGGUUCGGUUCGGUUUAAACGUGUUAAAUAACCGAUCAAACCGAAAUAACCGAUUUCCUACCUAAAGGGCAGUUCUCUCGGUCGAGAUGUAUAUUUUUGUAUAUUUUUUAUUGGAGUUUGACGGUGGUCUCCCUCAUCGCUUCUAAUUGUCGGCAUUUAUGGGUUUGUAUAUGGUCUUGUUUUGGCUUCAUUUCCAGGUCGCCGAUUUUGCUAGCUUGAGGGUUGUUUCUUCGAUAUGGUGAUGAUCCUGUUACUGGGGUUGUGAGAACAUGCUUUUGUUUUGCUGGGAGGGCUUUGCAUGUUGUUGACGGUGGAUUCACAGGGAGUCGUCGAUGCGUCCGGUGGUUCAUCUCCCUUCGGCCAGUGUUUGCCAUGGGCUCUUCCUCAAUCACCUCCUGGUUAUGCUUUUUUGUUGCUUAGCUGGACGAUCUGGAUUCUGGGUUCUAUGGAUGUUUUGGUGCGGUGGAUCUUUUCUAUUUGAGACGUUCCUCUUGGAUUUCGAUUUCGAUGCGGCUCUGUUCGGCCUGACAGUGUGAAAGUCGGUGGAGUUUGAAUCGAACCGAAUCGAACCGAUAAAUUUUUAAAAAAAAUUGCAGAUUUCGGUUUGAAUCGAACCGAACCGA